rnacentral:rRNA from 1 species
CUUGGUGGUUAUGGCGAGGGGUCAACACCCGAUUCCAUUCCGAACUCGGCCGUUAAAACCCUCAGCGCUGAUGGUACUGCAUCUUAAGGUGUGGGAGAGUAAGUCGCUGCCAAGC